AGUAUCUGAAAGAUGCCUAAGGGCUUCCACAAAGCGCCAGCCAGAAUGAAAAUGAAUUUCCCGUAAAGGUUUGACCCUACAGGGGAUUCCAGGUGUAUCUAAAAGAUGUAUGAGCCGUGGGGGGAGGUGCAGAUGGGUAAAAUAAUAAAAAUAAAUAAAUAAAAUAAAAUAAAACAUAUUUU